rnacentral:rRNA from 1 species
CCUACGGGCGGCAGCAGUGGGGAAUAUUGCGCAAUGGGCGAAAGCCUGACGCAGCGACGCCGCGUGAGGGAUGAAGGUCUUCGGAUCGUAAACCUCUGUCAGCAGGGAAGAACGGUCACUGUGCUAAUCAGCAGUGAAUUGACGGUACCUGCAAAGGAAGCACCGGCUAACUCCGUGCCAGCAGCUGCGGUAAUACGGAGGGUGCGAGAGUUAAGCGGAAUUACUGGGCGUAAAGGGCGCGUAGGCGGUAUGGCAAGUCAAGGGUGAAAUCCCCGCGCUCAACGUGGGAACUGCCUUUGAAACUGGUAAACUGGAGUGUGUGAGAGGAAUGUGGAAUUCCAGGUGUAGGAGUGAAAUCCGUAGAGAUCAAGAGGAACAUCAAUGGCGAAGGCGACAAUCUGGAACAUAACUGACGCUGAGGAGCGAAAGCGUGGGUAGCAAACAGGAUUAGAUACCCUUGUAGUC